AGAAAGCUUGACUGCACACACUUGAGCAGAAGACUUUUAAAACUGGAGUGUGUUCCAGUAUACAGACCUUCUGCCAGUCUGACAACUGAGGAACAUAUCUAUCACUUUAUCUAGCACUAAUCCUUCAGGCUAAGGCACCAGAAGAUGUUUUUCCAGAGAAGAAAGAUGAUCGAGUGCUUAUAAAGGGAGACAGGUUUUUUGGAGGUCUCAGAUCAAUUUUCAACAGACAGACAUCUCCUGAAUCGCCCAGAGAAUGUCUAUGCAGUCUUUUGCAAGCAGAUGCAAGCUCACAGUUUGUGUUCCACGCCUGGCUAUGUGUCAACUCUGAAAGCUGGCAUAUAUUUAUACAAUGUCAGUAGUAGUGAGCCUUGAUCUUGACUGGGGCCUUCGGUCUUUUCGCCAAUAACUGUAAUGCCAAUACGACUAGCAUUAACUAAUUCAAGAAUGAUUAAACCCAGUAAAUCUGAUGUUACUUUUCAUAAAAUAAAAAUUUCUGGUCUGUUUCUUGCACUUAAGAAUACAAAUUUUAAAUGCAGCAAAGACCUAACAUCCUUUUUCCCCAGAAAGUGACCUUAUUAAGCACUUAAAUUACAGAUAACAAAAAGUCAAGAGGCAUGUAUUUAGAAGUUACUGCUUUUGUACUGCCAGACAAUAUGCAUAUGAAAGCAUAGUGAUGUUAACAAUGUAGUUUGAAGGAGAAAAUCCCUUCUUCAUUGUCUAUUACUGUUCUGUGUCUGUUCUUUAUUACUUCCUCAUUGUAUCUGAAGAUACGUAACUCUUGCAUUCACAAUCAUUUCAUGAGAUCACUCUAGUUUUCUUUUCUCGUGUACAGUUACACCCUUUAACAUCUAAGUA